GCCGUGCGCGGUGGCGCAUGCCUGUAAUCCCAGUGACUCCAGAGGCUGAGACAGGAGGAUCGCAAGUUCAAAGCCAGACUUAGCCACAGCGUGGCACUAAGAAAUUCAGUGAGAUCCUGUCUCUA
rnacentral:sRNA from 1 species